GCGGGGCCCUCGGAAGGCCUCGGGCGGAGCAGGUUUAACUGCAGUACACAUCACAGCACUUUAAAUGGCUCCUGCCCGAGACAGCUGACAAGGCUGCGCACAGGGCCUCCAGGGCUGCUUCAGGCGGUGAUCUCAGGAAGCAGUGGGCUGGCUGGCUUUCUCCCUCUCAUGUCACCUGCUUUGGGGGUCUGUGCUGAAUGGCAACAUCCCGUGGCCCGGGGCUGGAAGUCGCACUCACUCUCUCAGGGGUUCGGGGCCGCAAGGCCACGGGUCUGGUUACUGAGAGAUCCAGGGAGAGAGAGAGAGAGAGUGUGUGUGGUGGGAGGGUCUCAGCUGGUCCCUGGUGUGUGUGUGGUGGGGGGUCUCAGCUGGUCCCUGGACACUGCGCAGAUUCAGUGGGUCCAGCUCCUUUCCUGGGCGCUGGGAGGCUGCAGCCUGCCCGCAGGGUGACAGUCCCCUCGGCGUGGCCGAGCAGGGCGGGGGAGUGCAGCGGACUGAAGCAUCCCGCUCGCCUGGCCGCGACGUGCGGAGGGAGGGGCGGCGCCCGGGGCUGCGAGGGGCCUGGAGCCCUGCCUCAUUCCCUCAUGCUAGUUCCGGGGCUGCCGGGUAUAAAGAGCUUUAUGCAAUGUCUGGAGGCUGGGAGUCCAUAGAGAAGGCGAUGUCUCACCGGGCGAGCCCGCCUUUCUUCUGAGAGUAGCGGGGCAAGGCGGCCAGGCCGGGCUCCGCGCGCUGCUGCGGCGCCGACCAGAGCGCUGAGCCCGCGGGGAGCGGCGGCAUCCCGGCCCGAUGGGACCGCGCCGCGGCAUGGCCGGUGCCUGCAGAGUGCUCUUCAUAUUGGCCGCGUGUGUGAUGCGGGGCAGUGGGCAAGUCUACAGUCUUAUGAAAUACCUUGAAUAAUUUCCAGCUGAAGAGAAAGCACCUGAUUCCCUCUCACUCAAACCCCUGUAACUCCAUUAAAUUCAUUGGAGCUAUUCCUGAAUUACACUCAUUUAAGGCAUGAGAUAAGGUCCAGACACCAAGCAGUUGAUAGUAAACAGUUCUUUUAAUAGUUUACCGUAUUUUGAGAUUCAGUUUGAAGUCCACUCUUUUACGGUAAUGUUCAUUUUAUUAACUGCCUUUUUUUCUUCCAGCUCAGCAUAUUUUUUAGAACAGUUACAAAGAUGAAGUUUAAUUAGUAAGCAUGGAAAUGUGGAAUAGAAUGGAUGGCCUUUAGAUUCCACAAUCAGCUUUUACUGUUGGUGUCAAGUCUUUUCAUGUUUUCUUUGUUUUGCAAUUGUUAAAUUGGAUUAGAAGCGUAAGGAUCACUGUAAUAAUUUUUUUUCUGGAUUAAUAAAAUGACAUAUAAGAGUUAAUUGA